rnacentral:rRNA from 1 species
UACAGAGGUGGCAAGCGUUGUUCGGAAUUACUGGGCGUAAAGGGCGCGUAGGCGGUCUUCUAAGUCAGACGUGAAAUCCCCCGGCUUAACCUGGGAACUGCGUCUGAUACUGGACGGCUUGAGUAUGGGAGAGGGAUGUAGAAUUCCAGGUGUAGCGGUGAAAUGCGUAGAUAUCUGGAGGAAUACCGGUGGCGAAGGCGGCAUCCUGGACCAUUACUGACGCUGAGGCGCGAAAGCUAGGGGAGCAAACAGG